GGGCCCAUAGCUCAGUUGGGGGAGCGCUUGAAUGGCAUUCAAGAGGUCAGGGGUUCGAUUCCCCUCAUCUCCACCA
rnacentral:tRNA from 1 species